GACGAACGCUGGCGGCGUGCUUAACACAUGCAAGUCGAACGGAAAGGCCCUGCUUGCAGGGUGCUCGCGUGGCGAACGGGUGAGUAACACGUGGGUGAUCUGCCCCCUACUUUGGGAUAAGCCUGGGAAACUGGGUCUAAUACUUGAUAGGACCAUUCUGUAGGUGGUGUGGUGGAUAGAUUAGUUUCGGUAAGGGAUGAGCUCUCGGCAUAUCAGCUUGUUGUUGGGGUAAUGGCCUACCAAGGCGUCGCCGGGUAGCCGGCCUGAGAGGGUGGACGGCAAGAUUGGGACUGAGAUGCGACCCAGACUCCUACGGGAGGCAGCAGUGGGGAAAAGUGCACAAUGGGCGCAAGCCGGAUGCAGCGACGCCGCGUGGGGGAUGACGGCCUUCGGGUUGUAAACAACUUACGGCCAUGAAGAAGCCCUUGUGGUGACGGUAGUGGUAGAAGAAGCACCGGCUAACUACGUG
rnacentral:rRNA from 1 species